AACACAAAUUAUCUAUUGCGUACUUGAAUUUAAAAAUGAUUUUAAUAAAACAGUUUUUAGGAAUUCAGUAAAUGAACAUAUGUUUACAAUAUAGUUCGGACUGUUCCCCAUUUUUGAUUAAGUUACUUGGUGGCCUAUGGGUUAGACGCGCGCCUAUGAAUCUAAAGGUUGCUGGAUCGUUCCCCACUGGUGACAUUUUACAUUUUUACUUUUUUAUUUUUUAAGCAUACAUUUUUAUCUAUGGUGGGAAUUGUUAACUUAACCUAGCUUUCCUUUGUUGUUAGUUGUAAUGUGAUCUCUGUAGGUCUAGGCCUGAUGAUGCUCCGAUAGGAGCGAAACACGUGUAGCUUUGAACAAAUUAUAUGGAUUUGAUGAGACCCUGACUUUGUGUUCUUACCUUUGUUUUGUUAUGUUUACAAUUGAUAACUUUAAAUGAAUGAUUGUACCCAAACAGCUGACUACAGAUUUGAAAUUAAAGAAAAUCUUGAAAAAUACUUAGUUGCAAGCAAUAAUUUUGAUCUAUGAAUUUUUAAAUUUCAUAACUGACAUGAAUUUAUAUCGG